rnacentral:rRNA from 1 species
AUUCCGGAGAGGGAGCCUGAGAAACGGCUACCACUUCCAAGGAAGGCAGCAGGCGCGCAAAUUACCCAAUACUGAUUCGGUGAGGUAGUGACAAGAAAUACCAAUAUAGGACCCAACGGGUACUAUGUUUGGAAUGAGUACAAUUUAAAAACCUUAACGAGGAACAAUUGGAGGGCAAGUCUGGUGCCAGCAGCCGCGGUAAUUCCAGCUCCAAUAGUGUAUAUUAAAGUUGCUGCGGUUAAAAAGCUCGUAGUUGGAUUUUCGGAGUUGUUAUCUGAACCUUCUCGCCAUAAAAAGUGGGGGGCUAAGGUAGCAGUAGUUUUCAUCAUAGUCCACCAGGAUACUCUCUUGUGUACUGGGUGUUAACCUCCUUUUUUCUGGUACUUGUCUAUCCAGCAAUGGGUAGGUUUUGUUCCAGAUAGUUUAC